ACUCCUACGGGAGGCAGCAGUGAGGAAUAUUGGACAAUGGAUGGAAAUCUGAUCCAGCCAUGCCGCGUGCAGGAAGACGGCCCUAUGGGUUGUAAACUGCUUUUGUAUGGGAGCAAUAAGGGCUACGUGUAGUCCGAUGAGAGUACCAUACGAAUAAGCACCGGCUAACUCCGUGCCAGCAGCCGCGGUAAUACGGAGGGUGCAAGCGUUAUCCGGAUUUAUUGGGUUUAAAGGGUGCGUAGGCGGUUUGAUAAGUCAGCGGUGAAAUAUUUCAGCUUAACUGGAAGGGUGCCGUUGAUACUGUCGAGCUUGAAUUUAGUUGCUGUGGGUGGAAUGUGUGGUGUAGCGGUGAAAUGCAUAGAUAUCACACAGAAUAUCGAUUGCGAAGGCAGCUCACAAAGCUAAUAUUGACGCUGAUGCACGAAAGUGAGGGGAUCAAACAGGAUUAGAUACCCUGGUAGUC
rnacentral:rRNA from 1 species